GAGGGCAAGUCUGGUGCCAGCAGCCGCGGUAAUUCCAGCUCCAAUAGCGUAUAUUAAAGUUGUUGCAGUUAAAAAGCUCGUAGUUGGAUUUCUGUUAAUAAUUUAUAUAAAAUAUUUUGAUGAAUAUUUAUAUAAUAUUAACAUAAUUCAUAUUACUAUUUUUUUUUUUAGUAUAUGAAAUUUUACUUUGAGAAAAUUAGAGUGCUUAAAGCAGGCAUAUGCCUUGAAUACUCCAGCAUGGAAUAAUAUUAAAGAUUUUUAUCUUUUUUAUUGGUUCUAAGAUAAGAAUAAUGAUUAAUAGGGACAGUUGGGGGCAUUUGUAUUUAACAGUCAGAGGUGAAAUUCUUAGAUUUGUUAAAGACAAACUAAUGCGAAAGCAUUUGCCA
rnacentral:rRNA from 1 species